rnacentral:rRNA from 1 species
GUGUGCUGGUGAAGUGUUUGGAUCGGUAUCAAUGGGGGGGCAACCUCUGUUGGUACUGAGAAGAACAUUAAACCCUCCCACCUAGAGGAAGGAGAAGUCGUAACAAGGUUUCCGUAGGUGAACCUGCGGAAGGAUCAUUG